CAGACGAUGCGUCAUGCAUAUCAAUAAGCGGAGGAAAAGAAACUAACAAGGAUUCCCCUAGUAAUGGCGAGUGAAGCGGGAAGAGCUCAAAUUUGAAAUCUUAAAGGGUUUCCCUUUACGAAUUGUAGUUUAAAGAAGUGUUUUCUGUUGAGGUUUUGGUAAAAGUUCUUUGGAAUAGGACAUCAUAGAGGGUGAGAAUCCCGUAUUUGACUUUUACUUUCAACUUUGUGAUACACUUUCAAAGAGUCGGAUUGUUUGGGAAUGCAGUCCAAAAUGGGUGGUAAAUUUCAUCUAAAGCUAAAUAUUGGCGAGAGACCGAUAGCGAACAAGUACCGUGAGGGAAAGAUGAAAAGAACUUUGAAAAGAGAGUUAAACAGUACGUGAAAUUGUCAAAAGGGAAGCGUUUGACACCAGUGUUGUUUUUCUGAAAAUCAAUUAAAGAACUGUUUAUGCUAAGCUGUUUAGACUUUAUCAGCUAUCUGUUUAGUUUUGAGCUUUUCUUUAAUGCACUUUUCAGUUAACAAGUCAACAUCAAUUUCUUUUGCUGUAAAAAAGCUUGAGGAAGGUGGCUUGAGAUUCGUCUUAAGUGUUUAUAGCCUCUUGCCUAUGCAGUCGGAGAGAUUGAGGUCUGCAGCGUAGAUCCUUCGGGGCUAAAUGCAUUUGUGCUAAGUUAUAGCAUUUUAUAGACAACUUGUUGACUAUGAUUUGUCUUGUAGCUUACUCGCUUAUGUUAUUUUACCUACGCUUAGGAUGUUGAAGUCAUCGUAUCGCGC
rnacentral:rRNA from 1 species